CCUCUCUUAUUAACAUCCUGCAAAGUUAACUGUGUCCAUAAUCACAGGGGUUUCUAGGCACUGAUUCAGGUCUCUCCUUCCUCAUCCCAGAAAAGUGCUGGAGGCCUGGGUAACAGCACCCUUUACCUGCCCCAAGGCCUAAGGAAGCAGAGCUUUCUCCUCUUUCUGCACUCAUGUCAGUCAUUCGUUCACAAGUGCUCAUGGUAAUCUGCUCAGAUCAGGUGGGGGAGGGUCUGUGCUGAUAACGAGAAGGUCUGGUCUGUCCAUGGUGACAAGUGAUAAAGGACAUACAGGAGGGAGGGGGCUGGGAAGGCCUCGCCAAGAAUGCCACUGAGUCACAUCCUAAAGGGAGACAAGGGUUGAGGCCCGCAGACCUCUGGGAGGAAAGCAUUGCAGGAAUGGCCAGUGUAAAGGCCCUGAGGCAGAAGCAGCCAGGGUGCUGGAGGACGAGCAGGAGGUCAGAGUGGCUGGGGCCAGUGAAGCAGCGGGAGGGUGGGGGGAGGAACACUACUGCCUGCAGAGUUGUAGGGAAGAGAGGAGCUUCUAGAUGUCUCGGCUGGUGGGCACACGGCUAACACCCGCGACGCGCAGUGACAUGACGACAAAGGUGAGGGUGCUGGUCCCUCCCUCCCCUCUCACUGAAGGUGCAGAGGAGGGGUGGGAAUACAGCCUCGGUGGGGCUGUCCAGGGGCUGUCCAGAGUCCCGAGGCCAAACCUCCAGCUGCCCUGGGAACUCCAGGGCUGCCUUGCUCCGGCAGCCCCAGGUGCUGAGAGCCGUGUGGAAAAUCCAGCACCUCCUGUGGCUCCCAGGGCCCCUGGAUGAAGGCUAGGAAGUACUGUUCUCACUCCGCAGGUGGGGAAACAAGUGUGGCUCAGGAAGCAAGGCCUCGCCGGAGGUGCUGAGCAGAGCCCUGAGGUGACCACAGGGCCAACCCCGAAGUCUGUCCCCAGGGACGCUGGCUGAGCUGUCCUCCAGCCUCCCGCUCACAGGGGCCCUGCCUAGCAGCUGACACCCACCUGACCUGAAGAAGCUGAUUAUCACCUGACCUGCAGCCAGCCCCGCCCCUCCUGCUCCUCCCAGCUUCCCUGGGAGUGGGUCACCUCCACACUGGAGGCCCCUACCACUGGGUUUCCCCUUCCUCCCCAACCUGGAACACAGGGACCAUCCAGUCAAAGUACCACCCUGCAGAAGGGAAACUGAGGCCCAGGAAGGGAGCACAACCUGCAGGGUCCCCCAGACCAGGACGGUGACAGUGGUCCAACUUGCAGGCCAGAGGCUCUUCAUUUGACCUCCACCACCUCCAACUUUCCCUUCAUGUGGGGAAGCUGAGGCUCAGAGCAGGAAGCCAGCAGCCCAAGCCUGACGUGUUGCUCCCAACAUGCAGCUCCUUGCACGGGUAAAACGCCCUGGUUCAACGCCCGUGAAUGUGUGAGCAGUUGUAUCACUACCAUGUUCUCAGAACUGUGUGCACCACCCCCACCACGACGGGGUGAUCCAGCUCCAAACCUACGUCAGAGCUAGCUCCACAAUUUGGAUGCAUCAAUUCGGAAUAAGCCUACAAAGGCACAGUUAUCCCGGGUCACCGUGAGUCAGAACCAACUUGAGGGCACCUGACAACAAGGAAAAAUCAAAGCAAAGAGGGACAGAGGCACGGUUCUGACUAGAAAAAGCCUCAUCGAGAAGCGAUGUCUGAGCUGGAGGCGAGGGAGGAGCUGCGUGGAUGUCUGGGGAAAGCUCUCCUGGCCAAGGGAAAGCCCUGGGGUAGGACUGUGUUCUAGGACCCACAGGGAGGUCAGUGUGGCUGGAGUGGAGUGAGCCGGGGUGGGGGUAGGGCAGGGGGUGAAGAGGGCAGGGUGGGAGGGUGUGGGCAGGCCUUGUGGGCUCUGUGGACUCAGGAUGUGUGGGGCCAGAGAAGCAUGCUGGGCAGAGGUGUGGCGAGAUCAGACCUGAGUUUUCACAGAGCUGCUCUGACCGCUGAGCUGCGGUCAGAGGCCAGGUGGAAGCAAGAGGCAGGGGGGCUCUUGCAGCAGCCCGGUGGGAGGCGAUGGAGGUUUGGACCCAGGUGAUAGGCAGGAGGGGGAGGCUGUUCGGACUUGACUGCACUUUGCAGGAAGAGCUGAUGGGCUUUGCUGCUGAACUUGAUGUGGGUGUGAGAGGAGGAGGGGAGCCCAGGGGGAGCCCGAGGUCUGUGACGACGUUUGUGGCAGGUUAAGACCUAAGUGCAGGGUUCGUGUCCCUUCCCACCCUCUCAUGGUUCUUUUUUUUCCCUCUCUCUCUGUUUUUUCUCGCUGUUUUCUGAGCUGCAUCAGGCGUGAGGAAGGGAAGCUUCAAGUGUCCACCCUGGGGCCCCGGUGCCGAGUUAGGGGACACCUUGUGUGGCUGGGGGAGAGCCUGGCAGCUCCUGUGCCACCUCACCUCGCUGGGGGAGGCACCUCACGGCAGGGACAGGCUACCACGCAGACACAGUUCUUUCUAGGAACAGCUUCUGGUUCGCCCAGCUUGAAGGGGCUAUUUUAGGUUUUGAGUUCUCUUACUUUGCUUACUGGUAGCAAAUUGUCGUCAGAAAAAAGCUGGUGCCAAGUGUGUUUCCUCUCCAAUCGGGUGUACCGCAGAUGCUCGGGAUUUGAAUGGUGAAGACACAGGGGCCUGCAACUCCCCCACAGCCACGGCAACCUGUCUCCCGACACACGGGGCUGUGGGCCAUCAGUGCCCCUGACCGGUCUAGGGCCCAUCCUCGCCUUCCUCAACAGCCUCAGUUGCUGUGACCCAGAAAAAGCGGCCACCUGGCCAUUCUUUGCAGGCAUGGGGGAGUUUGCAUCUGGACCCAGUGGCAUGGGGGUGCUCGUCGUCCUCUGGGGCAAGCGAGUCAGGUCUGGGGGCUCUCUGGCUGCGACGGGCAAACCACCUGGGACCACACCCAAAUGACCUUCUCAACCAGCAUGGAUCCCAGCACCCCUCUGCCACCAAACCUUCCAUAGCAACUGUUACUGACUGAAUUGUGUCCCCCCAAAAUUACGUGGAAUUCCUAACUCCUGUACCUGUGAGCAUAACCCUGUCAAACAGGGGUUUUCUUUUGUUAUGCUAAUGAGACCAUGCCCGAGUGGGGUGGGUCCUAACCCUAAUCCCUUCUAAGAGUGUCUUAUAAAAAAGUACACAGACAUGAGGACACACGGAAAAGAUCAUAUGAAGAUCCUUCUACAAGCCAAGGAACCCAGGGCUGCUGACAAGGAAGGACCCUCCCCUAGAGCUGAUGCCCCGGUUUGGACUCCCAGCCUCCGGAACUGAGAGAUAAUAAAUUUCUGUUCUUUAAAGCCGCCCACGUGAGGUAUUUGUGUUACAGCAGCCCCGGAGGACUCAGACAGCUGCCCAGGUUCUAGUCCCAAGAAGCUGGAUGAGCCUGCACCUCAGACGCCUCAGGGCUUGGCCCCAGCCUGCCUUUCUGGCCUCACCUCUCCUGCCCUUCCUUCUAUGAUUGCCCUGACGGCAACUGCUGCCAGGCCACUGCACCCACCCCGAGACCCUUCCUACACAGCAUCCCAACCAUGUGCUUCCUCUGCCCAGAACGGUGCACUUCCUCCAGCCUCUCCCCCGCAAACAGCCAAAUCCUUCCUGCUCAGCUGCGCUCUCCCACCGCAGGGCCUUUCCAGGUCUGUUGCCUCUGCCUGGCAGGCCAUUCCUCCAUGCUCUGCCCGGCUGACCGCUAGCCCACCCUCUGCCCGGCUGACCGCUCUCCCACCCUCUGCCCGGCUGACUUCUAGCCUGCAGUUUGCAUGGCUGACUGCUAGCCCACCCUCUGCCCCAGCCAACAGCUAGUCCACGUUUCGCCUGGCUGAUGGCUAGCCCACCCUCUGCCCGGCUGACC